CCCUUCUUGUCCAAAGCACUGUGCUAAAAUCCCAGGGACCAGGCAGAGCUCUGGGCUCUGGGAUAAUGCUAGCAGAGUACGUGCAGGAAGAAGAACAACCAUGCACUGGAUCCAAACUGACUGGGGUGGACCUCUUUCUUAAUGUCCAGUGUCCUGGGUCAGAAGAUCUGGUGCAACAGUU
rnacentral:snoRNA from 1 species